rfam:Treponema succinifaciens DSM 2489, complete genome.
GCCUAGAUGCUCUGCACAUUGCAGCUGGAAAACCCCGCCAGAGCGGGAACGCAGCAACGGUAUUCAGCUUGCAGUGGUGCCGGAGAUUAUCUAGGCUCU